rnacentral:tRNA from 1 species
GCCUUCGUGGUGUAGUGUUUAGCACACUCGGCGUGCAUUGGAGGGGUCCGUGGUUCGAGUCCCGGCGAGGGCA